UGAGCACUUCACAUAACACCCGGAUGAUUGC
rnacentral:piRNA from 1 species